rnacentral:lncRNA from 1 species
GAAGCUGCAGGUAUAUGUUACUGGAAGACUGAGAAGCACCUGAUGACAAUUCUUGGAAUUGUGGACACUUGCUGCGUACACACAUGUGUGGACACACAUUCACUGCUGACAGGUCUGUGGCUGCCAGAGUAAAGAAAAGAUGGUCUGGGUUGGAAGGGACAUGCUGUUACAGCAUCAGGACCAGGAGGAGUCUAGAAGACGUGGUGGAGGAACUAGUGGAUUUAAACACACCUUCCUGGGAGAAAGGAGAUGGGGCUGACAAGACGCAGAAAAAUGUUGCUGGGAUUGACACUCACCAAGGAGCUGUACCGUACCUGUCACCAAUGCUGCUGUACAUGGAUUAUUGGGUCUGUUGCUGCAUACUGUACUGAGGCAUGGUCGUCAGCUUUCACACCUUUCACCCCUCACUCUUUGCCCCCUUACGCAACACACACACACACACACACACACACACACACACACACACACACACACACACACACACACACACACACACACACACACACACACACACACACACACACACACACACACACACACACACAGGCAGAACGACACAGAGCUCAAGCCUUUCCCCAGCCUUUGAUUGUGGAAUUUCCUGCCCAAGGACAUCCGCCAUUCAAAUGUCUUUUCACAAUUCACUUCCCAACUCGAAAUUUCAAAUGCCAGGGCUUUCAAUUAACAUUGAGCUCAUGUGAAGCACCUACAGCCCCUUGUCUGUGAAAAGCAGUACAGAAUGGGUUUUGUAUGGCGUUCAAGCACAUAAUAAACCGAUGGGAGGAUUUGCAAGAUUAUGA